GUCCGGAUGGCGCAAUGGUCAGCGCAUCUGCCUAGUGAGUAGGAGGCCCGGGUUCGAAUACCGGUCCGGCUCA